CGUAGGUCCCGAGCGUUGUCCGGAUUUAUUGGGCGUAAGGCGAGCGCAGGCGGUUUGAUAAGUCUGAAGUUAAAGGCUGUGGCUCAACCAUAGUUCGCUUUGGAAACUGUCAAACUUGAGUGCAGAAGGGGAGAGUGGAAUUCCAUGUGUAGCGGUGAAAUGCGUAGAUAUAUGGAGGAACACCGGUGGCGAAAGCGGCUCUCUGGUCUGUAACUGACGCUGAGGCUCGAAAGCGUGGGGAGCGA
rnacentral:rRNA from 1 species